UUCCCCCUGUCUGAAGAAGGGGAGCAGGUUUCUGAGUACUCCGGGGCGCGGUGCCUCCCCCUAAACGCGAAUGGAACUUUUGGGAAAUGCCCCUCCCCCAGCCCCUUGUCUGGGGCAACUUCCUUGUCUCUUCUCCCCCACCGGUGUUGGGGAGUUCCUUGUCUCCACUCCCAACCACAGAGCCACAAGUACAUUAUCUAUGCCCAGGCGAGUCCCUAUGCCCAGGCUAGGAGAGCCGCACUUCUUCCUACAGCUGACACGUUUGGUUUUUGGAGGGGAAAGGGGAGCUGUAGCUGAAUCAGUAAUGGAAAUUGAUGAACCUGUGAUGUGACUCCUGGGAGUAGUUUGCAAUCACCAUUGGCCCAAAAGGAGCCAUCUACGUGCUCAGUGGGGUCUAGUAAAGGAUAAUAUUAAUUCUU
rnacentral:lncRNA from 1 species